GCUGUCAAGAGAAGAUCAUUAUCAAGAAAAAUUGUAUGUGAUUUUGCUUCUUUCAGUUUCAUUCUUCCAGAUCUCAGUUUUUUCACUAUUUUUUUACACGCAUUUUUAAUAGUUCUCCUGUUACUUAUUUGUCCUUUUUUCCCUGGCCUUCUACAGCACCUGUACAAACUUAUGUGAUUUUCUAUUAUGUAUGGGAAAAUUGCUUGGUGUAUUUUUUGGUUGUUUUGGAUUCAUGGGUUGUUCAAAGCACAAUGUCUUUGGCUAAAAACUUGGGGUAAUGCUUUGUUUUGUAUCAGUCAGUCUAAGCCCAAGCUUUGGGCUUUUAGCAUAGUUCAGCUUUGGACAGUUAUGUAGGAAGCAGAAUCGGCCAUCCUUGAAGCAUUAUCAAGAUCAAAGCCUGGAAGCGUAUGACCCUGGAUACUAGAUUUUGCACUAACAGUAGCUAUGUGAUCUCUGUAUUACCUACUAUAAAUGUAUAUCAGCUCUUGAUGCUUUAUAUCUCA